rnacentral:rRNA from 1 species
CCUACGGGAGGCAGCAGUGAGGAAUAUUGGUCAAUGGUCGGGAGACUGAACCAGCCAAGCCGCGUGAGGGAUGACGGUCCUGAGUGUUGUAAACCUCUUUUGUCGGGGAACAAAGACGGGGACGUGUCCCCGGUUGAGUGUACCUGAAGAAAAAGCAUCGGCUAACUCCGUGCCAGCAGCCGCGGUAAUACGGAGGAUGCGAGCGUUAUCCGGAUUUAUUGGGUUUAAAGGGUGCGCAGGCGGACUGUUAAGUCAGCGGUAAAAUCCAGAGGCUCAACCCCGGCCCGCCGUUGAAACUGGCAGUCUCGAGUGGGAGAGAAGUAUGCGGAAUGCGCGGUGUAGCGGUGAAAUGCAUAGAUAUCGCGCAGAACUCCGAUUGCGAAGGCAGCAUGCCGGCGCCACACUGACGCUGAGGCACGAAAGCGUGGGUAUCGAACAGGAUUAGAUACCCGUGUAGUC